rnacentral:misc_RNA from 1 species
CAACCCUCAAGCCCUCCCUUCGGGGACCGGGCCUGGUGUUGGGGACCGGCCGCCUCCCCCGGCGGCCGACCCCGAAAUACAGUGGCGGUCACGCCGCGUAUCCCUUGCGUAGUAGAAACACCUCGCACCGGAGAGCGACGCGGUCCACGCCGUAAAACCCCCAAUUUUUAAU